GAAUUUUCGGCAAUGGGGGGAACCCUGACCGAGCAAUGCCGCGUGAACUAUGAAGGUCUUCGGAUCGUAAGGUUCUGUUAUUGGGAAAGAACAGCAUAACUAGGAAAUGGGUUAUGUUUGACGGUACUCAAUGAGAAAGCCCCGGCUAACUAUGUGCCAGCAGCCGCGGUAAUACAUAGGGGGCGAGCGUUAUCCGGAAUUAUUGGGCGUAAAGCGUGCGUAGGCGGUUUAUUAAGUCUGGCGUGAAAUCCCACAGCUUAACUGUGGGUGGUCGUUGGAAACUGGUAAACUUGAGUACAGUAGAGGUAAGUGGAAUUCCAAGUGGAGCGGUGGAAUGCGUAGAUAUUUGGAGGAACACCAGUGGCGAAGGCGGCUUACUGGGCUGGAACUGACGCUGAGGCACGAAAGCGUGGGGAGCAAACAGG
rnacentral:rRNA from 1 species